CGGAGGGUGCAAACGUUGCUCGGAAUCAUUGGGCGUAAAGCGCACGUAGGCGGCCUGUUAAGUCGGAUGUGAAAGCCCCGGGCUCAACCCGGGAAGUGCAUACGAAACUGGCGGGCUUGAAUAUGGAAGAGGGUCGCGGAAUUCCCGGUGUAGAGGUGAAAUUCGUAGAUAUCGGGAGGAACACCAGUGGCGAAGGCGGCGACCUGGGCCAAUAUUGACGCUGAGGUGCGAAAGCGUGGGGAGCAAACAGGAUUAGACUACCCUGGUAGUCCACGCCGUAAACGAUGGAUGCUAGAUGUUGUGGGUAUUGACCCCUGCAGCGUCGCAGCUAACGCAUUAAGCAUCCCGCCUGGGGGAUACGGCCGCAAGGCUAA
rnacentral:rRNA from 1 species